rnacentral:lncRNA from 1 species
GAGACGGGGUUUCACCAUGUUGGCCAGGCUGGUCUGGAACUCCCAACCUCAGGUGAUCCACCCGCCUUGGCCUCCCAAAGUGCUGGGAUUACAGGCGUGAGCCACUGCGCCCGGCCUCUUCAUGAUUUUAUGUUAUUCCAAGCAACUUAUUUUCACAUGGAUUAUUUGCAAGUGGGUAAGCCAUUAUUCGUGUGCAUUUUGCAUGGGCAAAGCCCUUCUAUCUCUUUCUUAAAAAGAACAUUAAGGCUAUGUGUAAGAAUGAAAUGUUAGGAUCAAUGAUUUUCUCAACCAACAUCAAACAAUAGAUGAACUUGAUCAGCAUGGUUCACAAAAGGUGAUGCUCCUCAGCCAAUCUCUAAAAGAACCAGUCGCAUGUUUCAAACAGCACCAGAGCACCACAGAGCACGAUGGGCAUGCCAGACCCCCUCACUGCCAACCAUCCUGGCCCAGGACAACGAUGGCAGCAAUGAUGAUGACAAUGAAAGAUGUUGUUGAAGACGAUGCUGGCCAUCAUCUGAGGGCCCCAUAGAAACCAGAUACUUCCGGCAUAUUUUUCAAUACAGUCUCUCCAUUCCUUACGAUAUCCCUGCAAAGGUGUCCUUAUGCAGGGGAGCCUUUCUGUAUUAAAGUGAAAUUUAACGCCACAGAUAUUUACCCU